rnacentral:rRNA from 1 species
AGAGUUUGAUCCUGGCUCAGAGCGAACGCUGGCGGCAGGCUUAACACAUGCAAGUCGAGCGCUCGUAGCAAUACGGGAGCGGCAGACGGGAGAGUAACACGUGGGAACGUACCCUUCGGUUCGGAAUAACCCAGGGAAACUUGGGCUAAUACCGGAUACGUCCGUAAGGAGAAAGAUUUAUCGCCGAGGGAUCGGCCCGCGUCCGAUUAGCUAGUUGGUGGGGUAAUGGCCCACCAAGGCGACGAUCGGUAGCUGGUCUGAGAGGAUGAUCAGCCUCACUGGGACUGAGACACGGCCCAGACUCCUACGGGAGGCAGCAGUGGGGAAUAUUGGACAAUGGGCGCAAGCCUGAUCCAGCCAUGCCGCGUGGGUGAUGAAGGCCUUAGGGUUGUAAAGCCCUUCGGCGGG